ACCUGGCUGGCUCAGUCGGUAGAGCAUGUGACUAUUGAUCUCUGGGUUGUGAGUUCGAGCCCCAUGUUGGAUG
rnacentral:tRNA from 1 species